UGGUUGUAUCUGGACACCGUGGAUCUCCUCGGCAUUGAAAUCACUCUGAUCGCUUGUGGCCUGUGUGCAAUGUUUUGAGGUGUGGGAUGGGCCCGCGGCCUAUCAGCUUGUUGGUGGGGUGACGGCCUACCAAGGCGACGACGGGUAGCCGGCCUGAGAGGGUGUCCGGCCACACUGGGACUGAGAUACGGCCCAGACUCCUACGGGAGGCAGCAGUGGGGAAUAUUGCACAAUGGGCGCAAGCCUGAUGCAGCGACGCCGCGUGGGGGAUGACGGCCUUCGGGUUGUAAACCUCUUUCAGCAGGGACGAAGCGCAAGUGACGGUACCUGCAGAAGAAGCACCGGCCAACUACGUGCCAGCAGCCGCGGUAAUACGUAGGGUGCGAGCGUUGUCCGGAAUUACUGGGCGUAAAGAGCUCGUAGGUGGUUUGUCGCGUUGUUCGUGAAAACCGGGGGCUUAACCCUCGGCGUGCGGGCGAUACGGGCAGACUGGAGUACUGCAGGGGAGACUGGAAUUCCUGGUGUAGCGGUGGAAUGCGCAGAUAUCAGGAGGAACACCGGUGGCGAAGGCGGGUCUCUGGGCAGUAACUGACGCUGAGGAGCGAAAGCGUGGGGAGCGAACAGGAUUAGAUACCCUGGUACUCCACGCCGUAAACGGUGGGUACUAGGUGUGGGUUUCCUUCCUUGGAAUCCGUGCCGUAGCUAACGCAUUAAGUACCCCGCCUGGGGAGUACCGCCUCAAGGCUAAUACUCAAAGGAUUUGACGAGAGCCCCCACAAUCUCC
rnacentral:rRNA from 1 species